rnacentral:tRNA from 1 species
UAUAAGAUGCCUGAUUAAAGGAUUAUUUUGAUAGAAUAAAUCAAGUAAAUAUUUACUCUUAUAA